AGGGCCCACAUCGGCAGCUCCUUUCUGCUGGGUAGGUUGUCUUCUGCGUUCCAGGGUCCAUUUGGCCUGCUUCCUAAACUACCGUGAGGUAACCUGCUUUGGUGACUGUGUUCAGGCUCAACCACACGUGGAGUACAGCACCCCGAGGGCAGACUGUGCAGCUCCUGGGAGCCCUGAGCUGGUCCCAGCAGAGACCCCAGGGAGGAGUCAGCUUCAUGAGCAGCAGCAGUGGUUCUGAACAAAUUGUCCUAAGUGUGAGAAUGCGCAUCUGGAAUUACUUAAAAGAAAAGGUCCACCUUAGCCAACGGCUGUGGCCACAGUUGGCAACUAUGCAUACCUGGACCACGCGACUGGAGGGAUGGGAAUGAAAGUGCAAGCGCCCGGGUGCCACCGACAGCAAAUGGAAUCAAGCUGCUCCUUCAGGACAAGCCGGAGC